GAACUGCAAAUUUCUGAUGCUAGAGUUACAUAUGGAUAAAUCUGAUUUACAUGGAGUAACUCCUUUUCCGAGCUUCACCUUAUGUGGAGACACCCAACAUAAACAUGAAAACUACGCUUAUAACUUUCUGUAACUUUCAUUUUAUGGCACCCUCCCCCCUCACCUUAUGUGGAAGGAUUAGAAAGAGUAACAAUUCAAUAGUAGUUUUGCAGUCUUCUAUUUCUCUGUUGAGUAACAUUUUUGUAGCACAUCUGUAUCUUCUAUUUUUCUUACAAACACAAACUCAUUCGUUGCCGACAACAUCAUAAAUUUGUUCAUGUUGGGCCCGAGUUUUUGCCCGGGCUACCCCACUAGUAUAAUCUAUAAACCAGUGACGUGGCAUAUGUCUUUGAACAUGGAUGGAAUUUAUCUAAUUUCUCGAUAUUUUGAGCUUUUCCUCCUAUUAUUAGGGUUCAAUUACCCGAAAAGGUGCGGCAUCCAAAAUCUCCCUAACCCUCUCAUACCACGUCGUUUCGCACUACAACGUUUCACGCCAGAAAUUCCAUCGCUUCCAAGAAAAUGAAUAAACGAAGCAGAUUCAAUUACAAUGUCACUCCAUUGUCUCCAUCACCUUCUUAAUAAGCAACUCUCAGUAUCUAAUUUCUGAUAAUUCGCAUGUCUCAAACUCGAGUACACGUUGAUGAUUCCAAAUCCCUUACUGUACAAUGGGCAGGGGCGGAUCUAGCGCUAUGGAUACGGGUUCAAUUGAACCCAUAACUUUCGACAAAAUCCAGAAAUAUACUGUGCAAAAUUACUGAAAUAUGAUCAUAUAUUAGUGUUUGAACCCAUAGACUAAAUGAGGCUAUGGGUUUAGUGGUAAAACUGAUGGACAAAGUUCCGCUUAUUGCAGGGAAGACUGGAGUUCAAAUCUCUGUGUACCCAACUUUUAUUGCAAUUUUAUUUGAGUUACUGUUUGACUUCUUUGUUAGUUAUGGGCUUUUUCUUCCCUUCCCAUUUAAGAGUUUCGUUUCUUAUCCUUAAAAGAUGAGGACCCACCUAAUUAAUUUUAUUCUUUGAUGUGUACUUCAUUAACUUGUGGGGCUUUAUUAUAAUUAUAAAAAAGUUGGUCCUCACAAAACUUUAAGUGAUCAAAACCUUCCACUUUUCAGAAGGUUCAUCGGUUCCCAAAUUUUGAAAGCUAGGGUUUCAAAAGAAUCAAAGCAAAGGCUCUUCUUCAGUUCUUCUUGGACAUAAACUGCAAUCAAUCCUCUUCUUUAGUUUUGCUGUUCUUUUAAGCGUAGGGAUAUGCUACGAGAAGACCAGACAAAAAAACUAGAGGAGCUACAAGUGCUUGGUGAAGUUCAUACAGGAAAUGGACUAAAUCAAGAACAUGGACUCCAAAGGUCAGGUGAUACCUGAUGGGGUUCUCAUUUUAAGACAGUGCGUAACUUUAUUGCAUUAUUCUCAUCAAUCAUUAAUGUACUUGAGUUUCUUGCAAGUGAGGGUGCAAAUUAUCUUGAGAGAUCAGUGGCAAAAAGUCUAGUGAAUGACAUAAGAUCUUUUGAGUUUGUGCAUAUGAUGCAUUUGAUGUUAAAAUUAUUAGCAAUCACAAAUGAUUUGAAUAUAGCUUUGCAAAGAAAAGAUCAGAAUAUUGUAAAUGCUAUGAAGCUUGUUGGUUUCGCCAAGAGGUAAUUGCAAGUGAUAAGAGAAUCUAAAUGAGAAUCUUUGAUAGAUGAUGCCUCUUCAUUUUGUUCCAAGCAUGAUAUUGUGAUCCCUGAAAUGGAUAAGAACUAUCAUCUUGGAAAGUCAAAGCGUAGGAGUUCAAGUGUUACAUAUUCUCAUCAUUUGCGUGUCGAAGUUUUUAAUAUUGUUAUUGAUUUGCAACUUUCAGAGCUUAACAAUCGUUUUGAUGCGGUGAAUAGUAAUCUACUUCUUGGUAUGACUAGUUUGAGUCCGGAUAAUUCUUUUGCAAAUUGUGAUAAAGACAGAAUUAUGAAACUUGCUACACUUUAUCCUCAUGAGUUUAGUGGUUCAAAGCUUGAAGAUCUCAGUUACGAGCUUGACAACUAUAUUCUCUUUGUGAAAGAAGACAAUGAUUUCUCUAACUUGAAAGGACUUGGAGAUCUUUCAGAAACACUAGUUGAAAUAGAUUUGUACAAGACUAUAUUGCAUGUCGCUACUGCAACAGUAGAAAGAGCUUUUUCUUUAAUGAAGUAUAUCAAAAAUGACUUGCGUAGCAGAAUUGGUGAUGAAUUUUUGAAUGACUGUUUAGUUUGUUAUAUAGAAGAUGAAGUAUUUGAGAGUGUACCUAAUGAUGCGAUUAUUGAUCGUGUUCAAAACAUGACAACCCAUCGGGUACAAUUGUAAUGGUGAUAUUUAUUGAAUAUAUAUUAUGUUAGAUGGUUCGGUACUUGUUACAUAUAUAUUAAAUAUCAUUGUUCGUAUUUCAUUCGGUUAUUAUUGUAUAGUACCUUGAGGUAUGUUCCAGAGUCUAAAUCUUGAACCCAUAAAGUUAAAUUCCUGGAUCCGCCUCUGACAAUGGGGUAACUUUGCAUACCGAGACGUUUCACUCCAAAAAAUCCAGCGCUUGGUGCUUUGUUCUAUCAAUCAGAUGAUGGCCUUGGUGCUUUUUCUAUCAAUCCUGCUGGCAAAUAGUUCAGAAGGAUGUUAAUGGGUUUGUAGUGGCUUUCUUUGACGGAGUAGCUAUCUCUAGGCUUAUCUUGCACACAUGCUUGGUGAUGAUACCAACUUCUAAUCCCUUAUGAUUUUUUUUUAAAAUUUUCUUGGUUUAUAUAAAUGAUGAUAAUUGAAAUUCAUUAAUUAACCUAAACCAACUCAUGUUUGCACCUUUUGCAAAAAUAUUGCUUUUGUCUACUUCACUUAUAUUGGUUAUCCUCAUCUUUGUGUUAAAGUCGUCGGAGCGACAAGCUGUCUGGAGCAUGGGGAUUCUCUUCCUUCGUGUCCCUUUCUUUUGGCCUUCACAUUGUUAGUGUGGGAUUUAUGUUUUAAAAAAAAAAAGUGUGAACACAAAACUUCUUUGAAUAGCAUUUGCAAUUGGUAUUUGCAACAUUAUACAUUCUAUAACUAUAUAUAUUGAAAGUACCAUAAUUUUCAGUUUGUAUGCAUUGCCAUGUUCAACCGAGAUUGAAAAUGUGUAUGGUCAGUCAAUAUUACAAAAUUUAACACCUGUGUGCUUAUCUGUUCAUUGUUUUCAAUUAUAUUGGAGAGGUUAAGAACUUGAAUCUUGAUAUUUGCAGGCUAUUUGCUCUAUAUGUGCCAUAGUGACCAAUUGCCAGUGUUGAUCAGUUUAUUGUGUCAUUGCUUCAUACUGAUGACUCAUCUGUGCAAUGGAUAUUGGACUGUUAAAAUGGUUGUACUUCCUAUUUUAAAUGGUUUCUGUCUCCAUCCAAAUAAUAGGGAAGAAAGCAUGUUUAGAAAAAAGGACACGAGGUCUACAACUUAUGAUUGCUGAAUCCAAAAUCUAUUUGGAGCCUGCUGCAACACUUUGGAAGAACAAGGAAGAUAAUUCAGAGGCUUUCUCAGUUAGGUUGUUAGGGAUAUCAGGAAAGUUUUGUUGGGGAACUUUUAUUUUGGCUGAAGAUUGAAGAGGGAGGUUUUGGAAAAAGUAAUAGCACACAAGCUGUGGAAGAAUAGUACAGGCAGAUGCCGAUAUUCACCCAUUCAUAUAUCACUGCUUCAAUUGUCACCACCAUCGGUUGUUCUCUUGAGUUACAUGGAGGAAUGUGUCAGAGCGCAAAGCACCUGAAAUCACUCUUGCUGAAAUAGCGCAAAAGGAACAUAGUAUUCGGGAUAGAACCAUGAGAAAUUUGAGUUAGUGAUUUUUUCAGUUGAAGAUUGUAGCAGAAAAUGAGCGAGAGUUUUUUUUUUAAGAUUUUCAUUUGUUAUCAUGGAGGUUCUUUUGAAUAAGCAGUCUCAUCUGAAUACUGUCCAAAGGUAAGUAUCCGUUAACCUUACCUGUUCAUAUCAUGAAUAGAGUGUCAUAUGCAUUGCGUUUCAUGUGGCAACUAUCUUGAGCAGAUGAUAUUUUUUGAGUUUAACAUUUUUUUUGCAGCAUGAUGCUCACAGUUACUUUAUAAAUUAUUCAUAUUGUAAAUGGUUAUGUUCAAGUUGCUGGAUUCUUAUGACAUCUCAAGUGAAUCUGUAUCUAGUAGUUUACUUUUCUGCUUUCAUUUGCUUAUCUAAUGGGGAUAGGGAGAUGUUAUACUUUGCAUUGUAAGUUGUUUUUCAAAUACAUUCUUUAGGCACCUCCCCGUUGCAGCUUUAGAGAAGGAACUGUUAAUGAUAAUAAAAGCAAGAUUGUGAAAAAUAUAGAUCUUCAUGGAAGACAUGUUAGAAAUAGUUACACGUUGAAUUUCAAGACAUUGAUAAUAGCCGCUUGGUAGAUCAAUUGCCCUUUAGCAUAGGCUAUCCGUCAAAUAUUUUAUCUACUGGACCUUAUAGUUCUUCCUGCCUAUCGAUAAUUCAAUACAGAUACUUCAGUUUCAGAGUUCAAAAUAUUAACAUGAGUUUGAUACAAUGAAGCUCACUAUGAGACUCAGUAUUUGAGUUGUUGGUAAUUUAAUUUAUCAAGCUUAUGACAAAACUAUUUAUUUAUCAAUUCGAUGAGGAUGUGGUUGACUUGCUAUUGCACUGAGAAGAAAACAGAGAGGAGCUCAGAAGCACAUCAUGAGAAGGAGAAGAUUGAACUGCCUGCUGAAGAAAAGCAGAAUGCUGAAUUGCCACCUGAAGAUUGAUCAUUUUACAGGGCGAUGAGUUUAUGACAACGUCUCUCACCCAAUUCACAAAGAACCUGAACGUGAGUUUCUUACAAAACAAGUUAGUUGUAUAAGGGAAAAAAAACAAGACUCCAUGUACCAAAAUUGGAGGACACAACCCAGAUACUAUUCAAGCCUAAGGAUCAUUUUUUAAUUCUUGAUUAUUCAAUCUUAAAUUCUCUUUCUUUUUUGUUUGUCUAAUCUUCUGAACAAUCACUUUUGUAAGAUCUUUUCUUUUCUCUUUAUCUUUGUUUAUUAUGAAUAAUUCCUACCUCAUUGUUUUUCUUUCCUCA